ACAAAGGGGGACCGCGCAGUCCCCCGCUAGCAGAGUUCAUCCUCUGACAUAUUAGUAUAUCUAUUAUUAUAAAAUUAUAAAACAUGAAUAGUACUUUAUACGUGACUUAUGCUUUUUUAGUUUUUUUUAAAAAAAAUUAAAUAAGACGGACGAUCAAAAUUGAGCACGAAAACUUAUGUGUGCUCUUAUU
rnacentral:pre_miRNA from 1 species